AUUGAACGCUGGCGGCAGGCCUAACACAUGCAAGUCGAACGGUAGCACAAAGGAGCUUGCUCCUUGGGUGACGAGUGGCGGACGGGUGAGUAAUGUCUGGGAAACUGCCUGAUGGAGGGGGAUAACUACUGGAAACGGUAGCUAAUACCGCAUAACGUCGCAAGACCAAAGAGGGGGACCUUCGGGCCUCUUGCCAUCCGAUGUGCCCAGAUGGGAUUAGCUAGUAGGUGGGGUAAUGGCUCACCUAGGCGACGAUCCCUAGCUGGUCUGAGAGGAUGACCAGCCACACUGGAACUGAGACACGGUCCAGACUCCUACGGGAGGCAGCAGUGGGGAAUAUUGCACAAUGGGCGCAAGCCUGAUGCAGCCAUGCCGCGUGUAUGAAGAAGGCCUUCGGGUUGUAAAGUACUUUCAGCGGGGAGGAAGGUGAUACGGUUAAUAACCGUGUCAAUUGACGUUACCCGCAGAAGAAGCACCGGCUAACUCCGUGCCAGCAGCCGCGGUAA
rnacentral:rRNA from 1 species